rnacentral:tRNA from 1 species
GGGGUUGGGGAUUUAGCUCAGUGGUAGAGCGCUUGCCUAGCAAGCGCAAGGCCCUGGGUUCGGUCCUCAGCUUCG